rnacentral:rRNA from 1 species
AUUGAACGCUGGCGGCAGGCCUAACACAUGCAAGUCGAACGAGUGGCGGACGGGUGAGUAAUGUCUGGGAAACUGCCUGAUGGAGGGGGAUAACUACUGGAAACGGUAGCUAAUACCGCAUACCAUCGGAUGUGCCCAGAUGGGAUUAGCUAGUAGGUGGGGUAACGGCUCACCUAGGCGACGAUCCAUAGCGGGUAUGAGAGGAUGACCAGCCACACUGGAACUGAGACACGGUCCAGACUCCUACGGGAGGCAGCAGUGGGGAAUAUUGCGCAAUGGGCGCAAGCCUGAUGCAGCAAUGCCGCGUGUGUGAAGAAGGCCUUCGGGUUGUAAAGUACUUUCAGCAGGGAGGCGUUACCCGCAGAGAAAGCACCGGCUAACUCCGUGCCAGCAGCCGCGGUAAUUC